AAGAGAAAAGCGGUGUAAUUUGGAGC
rnacentral:sRNA from 1 species